GACGAACGCUGGCGGCGUGCUUAACACAUGCAAGUCGAACGGAAAGGCCCUGCUUUUGUGGGGUGCUCGAGUGGCGAACUGGUGAGUAACACGUGAGUAACCUGCCCUUGACUUUGGGAUAACUUCAGGAAACUGGGGCUAAUACCGGAUAGGAGCUCCUGCUGCAUGGUGGGGGUUGGAAAGUUUCGGCGGUUGGGGAUGGACUCGCGGCUUAUCAGCUUGUUGGUGGGGUAGUGGCUUACCAAGGCUUUGACGGGUAGCCGGCCUGAGAGGGUGACCAGCCACAUUGGGACUGAGAUACGGCCCAGACUCCUACGGGAGGCAGCAGUGGGGAAUAUUGCACAAUGGGCGGAAGCCUGAUGCAGCAACGCCGCGUGCGGGAUGACGGCCUUCGGGUUGUAAACCGCUUUCGCCUGUGACGAAGCGUGAGUGACGGUAAUGGGUAAAGAAGCACCGGCUAACUACGUG
rnacentral:rRNA from 1 species